AAAGAUUUGAAAAGAAACAUUUUGAACAUUUUCAGACAGGUUUUUAUAGCUCGGCAAUAAUUUCUUGUUCUGAAUGAACAAACAGGUGAGCUUUGGCAGAAUAUUGAUGACGCCUGAUAGUUCUAGUCUUUGUGACAGUUAGAUUUUAAUCAAAGUAUUCUUUUUGACACAAUUAUUUUUUCAGCUUUAUUGAGGUAUAAGUGAUAAAUAAAAAUUGUAUAAUUCAAGUCAUACAACACCAUGUUUUGAUAUAUGUAUACAUUGUGAAAUGAUUACCACUAUCAGGCUAAUUAACAUAUCCAUUAGCUCACAUAGUUACCUUGUUUUGUGGUGGGAAUACUUAAGACGUACGCUCAACACAUUUUCAAUAUAUAUUAUUAUGAACUAUAGUCACCACGCUGUACGUUAGUCUUCCAGAACUUAUUCAUCUUAUAACUGCAAGUUUAUGCCCAUUGGCCAGCAUC
rnacentral:lncRNA from 1 species